rnacentral:rRNA from 1 species
CCCUUAGAUGUCCGGGGCCGCACGCGCGCUACACUGAUGAACGCAACGAGACGACCUGUACCGAAAGGCAUGGGUAAACUUGUGAAAGUUCAUCGUGAUGGGGAUAGAUUAUUGCAAUUAUUAAUCUUCAACGAGGAAUUCCUAGUAAGCGCGAGUCAUCAGCUCGCGUUGAUUACGUCCCUGCCCUUUGUACACACCGCCCGUCGCUCCUACCGAUUGAAUGGUCCGGUGAAAUCUUCGGAUUGCUGGAUAGGAGGGCAACCACCUAUCUGCGAGAAGUUGCUUGAACCUUAUCAUUUAGAGGAAGGAGAAGUCGUAACA